rnacentral:rRNA from 1 species
UCCAGGCAAAUCCGGAUAAUCAAGGCUGAGGUGUGAUGACGAGGCACUACGGUGCUGAAGUAACAAAUGCCCUGCUUCCAGGAAAAGCCUCUAAGCAUCAGGUAACAUCAAAUCGUACCCCAAACCGACACAGGUGGUCAGGUAGAGAAUACCAAGGCGCUUGAGAGAACUCGGGUGAAGGAACUAGGCAAAAUGGUGCCGUAACUUCGGGAGAAGGCACGCUGGUGUGUAGGUGAAG